AUCUAGCUGAGGAGUCCCAAACAGGACGAAACGCGCGUCCUGGAU
rnacentral:hammerhead_ribozyme from 1 species